GAUGAACGCUGGCGGCGUGCCUAAUACAUGCAAGUCGAACGCUUCACUUCGGUGAAUAGUGGCGGACGGGUGAGUAAUCCAUAAGUAACCUGGCAUCUACAGGGCGCUAACUGAUGGAAACGUCACCUAAGACCGCAUAGGUGUCGAGAUCGCAUGAACUCUAUCUGAAAAGUGCUACGGGACUGGUAGAUGAUGGACUUCGGCGGCUUUGGAUUGUUGGUAGGGUUACGGCCUACUAAGGCGACGAUGCGUAGCCGACCUGUGAGUGUGACCGGCCGCACGGGGACUGAGACGCGGCCCAGAGUCCUGCGAGAGGCAGCAGUAGGCAAUGUGCGGCAACGGGGGGAAACCUGACAGAGCGACGCCGCGUGAAGGGAGAAGAAGUUGGUUACGUAAACAUCUGUUAUAGGGGGAGAACGGCGGAUGUAGGGAAUGAUGUGCGAGUGACGGUAAUCUAUAAGAAAGCAACGGCUAACUACGUG
rnacentral:rRNA from 1 species